rnacentral:rRNA from 1 species
ACUCCUACGGGAGGCAGCAGUGAGGAAUUUUGCGCAAUGGGGGACAAGCGUGAAGCAGCAACGACGCGUGAGUGAGGAAGGUAUUAGGGUUGUAAAGGUCUGUCAGGUGGGAAGAAAUGAAUGGUGUCUAAUA